GCUUCGGUUGCCUAGUGGUUAGAGCAUUUGCCUCGGAUGCAGGAGUUCACGGGUUCGAACCUGAACCGAGUCA